UAACACGUAGGCAACCUGCCCUCAAGCUUGGGACAACUACCGGAAACGGUAGCUAAUACCGAAUACUUGUUUUCUUCGCCUGAAGGAAACUGGAAAGACGGAGCAAUCUGUCACUUGAGGAUGGGCCUGCGGCGCAUUAGCUAGUUGGUGAGGUAACGGCUCACCAAGGCGACGAUGCGUAGCCGACCUGAGAGGGUGAUCGGCCACACUGGGACUGAGACACGGCCCAGACUCCUACGGGAGGCAGCAGUAGGGAAUCUUCCGCAAUGGGCGAAAGCCUGACGGAGCAAUGCCGCGUGAGUGAUGAAGGUUUUCGGAUCGUAAAGCUCUGUUGCCAGGGAAGAACGCUUGGGAGAGUAACUGCUCUCAAGGUGACGGUACCUGAGAAGAAAGCCCCGGCUAACUACGUGCCAGCAGCCGCGGUAAUACGUAGGGGGCAAGCGUUGUCCGGAAUUAUUGGGCGUAAAGCGCGCGCAGGCGGUCAUUUAAGUCUGGUGUUUAAUCCCGGGGCUCAACCCCGGAUCGCACUGGAAACUGGGU
rnacentral:rRNA from 1 species